AGUUUGAACGAGCCUCUUGCAGUGCAAAGGAAGGAUCUGGAAGGUCUUUCUGAGGGAGGUCUCAGCAACAUGGAGUUCCCUGGGCACCUUGGAAGGAGCGUGGGCACCGCCAUGCUGGCUUGUGGCAGAAAUGGAGUUGGGGUCUUGCCUCUUACGGCCUGCCUUCUUCAUGUGGACUUCCUGCCCUCUUAGGGGUUCGAAACAGAGGUCAAAUCAAGAGCAUUCAGCAGCUGCAGCAGUGGGUGCCCCACCUACAUCCCCCAGCCUUCUCCACCUCCUGCUCCUCUCAAGGAACUUUCUCUGCCGCAGCCAGCUCUUGCCCCUCUAUCAGAGCACCAUCCGCUGCCGGUAACAGCUUGUCUGGCAGCCCACUGACCCCACUGGGCCCCCAGGACGCACCCAUCAGCAGCGGGUAGUUGUGCCUCGGGACUCGCCAGGCUCCUGAGUUGACACAACCUCAGACAGCUUCCUGACACCUUUCUGCUCCACCAGGCUGGUGCCCCAGCUUCCCAUUUUCUGAGGAUCAGGAAUUUGAGAGCAACUCAGUUGGGUAGUUUUGGCUCAGGAUCUUCAAAUUGUUGGCCGAGACUGUGGUUAUCUGAGAGCUGGAGGGCGACCGAAGAACCCAGUUCCAAGAUGAAUCACUCGUGGCCGUUGGCAGGAGGCCUCAGUUCCCACCACAUGGAUGCUUGAGUAUCCUUACAACAUGGCAGCUGGCUUCUCCCAGAGCAAGUGGUCCCAAAGAGAACAAGGUGGCGUCUUCAUUAUCUUCUAUGGUCCAGGCUCGAAAGACACAUUGUUUCUGCUUUAUCCUGUUAACUACACAGGUCAGCCCUGGUUAACAUGGGAGAGGACCACACAGGGGCAUGAAUGGUCAGAGUUAAGAAUUAUGGGGGUCCCCUGGAGGCUGCCAACCACACACAUGGUCCUGCACCUUGUUUUAUCCCACAUAAUUCUCGAUCAAUACGCAGUGGCUUUCUCUCUUUAGGUGCAUGGUGUCCCAUGCGGGCGCACCAUGAUUUAUUUAUGUAGUCCUCUGUUGAGACCUCCUAUCAGGGUUGUUCUUGGUUUUUUGCUCUUACAGUCAGGGCUGUAAUGACUGUUUUUGUACAGGAAUUAUUUCCAGUAUCUCUGGAGGAGGAAUACCUGGGGAUAGAAUGGCUAAGUCAAAGGUUGUGGUGCUUUGAAAAUGUAGUCAUAAAAAUUUUUGAUAUUUCUUGGAUUGAGAAAUAGAGUCCCUGUCUCCUCCACUAAGUCCGAGUGGCCUUUUUAAAAAAAAAAAAAAAAGAAUUACCAC